CAGGGGACUAGGUAGCCAGUCCCUCCAGAACCCCAAGUCACAUUCUAUAUCACAAUCUACCCUUUUCCAAGUAAGCCCCCAUCUGGGGUGGAAAAGUAAGGUCCAAAUGGUUUCUCCUGCACACAGGGGCUGGGAUCCUCAUCAGAGUACAUGGAUGGUGGCCCAGAAAUUGUCAUGGCUGUGUCCUGCGUCCAGGUGCUUCAUGGAAGAUUCCUUCUGCGGAGUGAAGACUCCAGAGCCCUCCUCCUGUCUGGAGACACCGGCUCCCGGGCAGGCACCAGGCACCAAGUGCACAUUCCAGGCUGGGGCUCUGGAGAGGUCUCUCUGUGCUAAGCGAUGUGCCUGGUCCCUCUGGUCUCCUCAGGGAGUCCAGGGGUGAUGGUGGAACUGAAGUCCUCUCUGGCCACAAACUCCACUGCAGCCAGCCUGGCUGGCUCCAUGGCCUCUCCCUGUUACCUCCGUGGCCUCUCCCUGCUGCCUCCUGUAGCACGCCCCUCCCUCCCCUUGGCCAUGGCUUGCAGACCCCACCACUCCUCCCCCAAGCCCCCCAGCCCUGCACCUGGGCACCUGCUAGUGAACACCCAGACCUAGCCGGUGCCCCAGGAGCCCCCGGGAGAGCUGGCCUCUUAGCAUGGGUGGCCUCCGGGAUGCCCACACUGCCCCUGAGGGGCUGUGGUCCACAGCUCUGCCUCCAGGGCCCUCUUUCUUCACCCUUCCUGAUCAGCUUGCAGGUCCCUUUCCAGAAAGCUGUCAAUACUCACAUCCAUGAGACUGGCCACUGCCUUGGGGCCCCCUGUCUGAUGCUCUGGAGGCUGAAGUCUAUGGUCAGGCCAGCAGGGUGGCCCCAGCAAGGCCCCAUCUUGGCUUUCAGAGGGUACCUUUCUGCUGUGUCCCACAGGAAGGGGAGGGAGCGAGCUGCUGGAGUCUUUUCCUAGGAAGGCUGAUCUCGUCACAUCCCGGGGUGGGGGUACCG
rnacentral:lncRNA from 1 species